rnacentral:misc_RNA from 1 species
CCGAGUAUCGGGUCUCAGUGCCCGCACUCCAACCCUCUGUGUACCAACCCUUGUUGCUUUGGCGGGCCCGCGGUGUAAUGCCGCCACCGGCUCACGCUGGUUAGUGCCCGCCAGAGGACCGUUAAACUCUUGUCUAAACAGUGUAGUCUGAGUAAAACUUAAUAGUUA